GCCACCCUAGCUCAGUUGGUAGAGCAGCUGAUUCGUAAUCAGCAGGUCGUCGGUUCGAAUCCGAUGGGUGGCUCCA
rnacentral:tRNA from 3 species